GGCAGUGGUGGCUCAGUGGCUUAGGUUUUGGCUACUAGUCAGACGAUCGUGAGUUCAAAUCUCAACAUUGCCA